rnacentral:lncRNA from 1 species
CUGUGUUCCCACCCAAAUCUCAUAUCGAAUUGUAAUUCUCACAUGUCAGGGGAGGGAAGUGAUUGGGUCAUGGGGGCAGUCUCCCCCAUGCUGUUCUCGUGAUAGUGAGUAGUUCUCACUAGAUCUGAUGGUUGUGUAAGUGUCUGACAGUUCCUCCUUCACAUGCUCAUACUCUCCACCUUGUGAAGGAGCCUGCUUCCCCUUCUGCCAUGAUCAUAAGUUUCCUGAGGCCUCCCCAGCCAUGCAGAGCUGUGAGUCAAUUAAACCUCCUUUGUUUAUAAAUUACCUAUUUUUUUUGAGACAGAGUCUUACUCUGUUCCCCAAGCUGAAGUGCAGUGACAGUGGUGCGAUCUCAGUUCACUGCAACCUCUGCCUCCUGGGUUCAAGCAAUUAUUGUGCCUCAGCCUCCCAAGUAGCUGGGAUUACAGGAGCACGCCACUAUGCCCAGCUAAUUUUUUGUAUUUUUAGUAGAGAUGGAGUUUUGCCAUGUUGGUCAGGCUGGUCUCAAACUCCUACCUCAAGUGAUCUGCCUGCCUCGGCCUCCCAAAGUGCUGGAACUACAGGUGUGAGCAACCUCACCCAGCCUCAGUUCCUUCCCACGCUCACACUCUCUCCUACUGCCUUGUGAAGAAGGUGACUGCUUCCCCUUCUGCCAUGAUUGUAACUUUGCUGAGGCCUCCCCAGCUAUGCAGAACUGUGCCUGAACUCUGGCAAUGACCUGAAGGGCCCUCACACAGAUUCUUCUCCAGUGCCUCCAGAAAACAACGCAGCUCUGCGACCCCUGAUCUCAGCCUCAUGGAAUACUGGGCAGAGAAUCCAGUCACAGCUUGCCUACACUUCUGCCCUACAAACUGGAAGCUGAUAAAUUUGUUUCAUUUUAAACUGUUAUGUUUGUGGUUAUCUAUUACACAGCAAUAUGGGCUUAUUCCAAACAGGCUGUAUGAAUUCAGGUCCCUGACCAAAUCUGGUUGACUGUAAAAAUGAAAAAGGACAACCUGAGUGCCUUACCUUACGUAAAUAUUUCCUAACUCCUGCCCUGUGUCUGUGGCAGACACCCUGCUCCGCUGAGUUUGGGUGCUAUUACUCCGGAAAAUCUAGUCAUCUGCAGAAACCAUUUCAGCUACCUUCUGUCCUGGGAUACACUGUAACAAACCAUUUCACCCAAGGCAUUGUUUCCUCUGGUUCAGCUCAGGGGAGUAUCAACAUCUUAGGGGUGUUAUCAAGAUUGUUAACAAAACAAACGCAGCAGCUCUUACCAUGGACAAUGGUGAAUGAGGUCCGUUAUCUGCCUUAGUCCCUGCCCAUCCCCACAUUCCCAGCACCACACUCUCAACUCCGGAGUCCAGC